UUCAUCUCACCAAAAUUUCCGUACCAAAUCUAUGGGCCAGUUGUUGGGUCUUAUGUUUUAAUGUUUUGUAUAGAUGGGCCCAUAUAUAUUUAGGGUUACAUUAUUAUCCUGCUUAGUUUACAGAGCAUCGACGUUUUCACCAUACAGCUAGAACUCCGAUCGACACUAUGUAACGUCUGCCAUUUACAUUUUUUUGGUGUUUAAAUCCUAGCAUUUAUGUCACUUAUACCACCCUCCCACUCUCUGGCUUUUAAUGGAGCUUAUAAUAUUCUAAGAUAACCGCUGGAAGCUCCAUCUAUAAAUGUGUUUGCUCCCGACGAUGAACAGCAUUAAAAUCUGCAAAAACUAAAAGCACGAUCCCUGCAAAGCAUCAACUCAACAAUGGAGAAAUCCUCCAUCCUGCUCGCCGAUUUGAAAGCUUGCCGGUUCUGGCGGUGGUGAGAUUCAACACCGGCACAUUCCUCACACCACCGCGACAAGAGCAAUUCAUAAGCUGCAUCUGGGAACUGCAGCGGAGGAUCGUUCCAAACAGAAGCUGAUCUCACAUAACGAUUCAUCAGGUUUUGUUUGUUUGGUCUCUUUUUAGAUUGUUCAGUCGAGGAUAGGUUUGCUAAGGUUGCAGAGUUUUACGUCCCCAUCAGUGUUAAAACAACACAACAAAACAAGUUAAGCAAGUUCUAUGUUAGGUGACCGACUCCACCGUCACCAUCCCGCUUCAAUGAGAUGACUAACUUUGUUUGAAAUAACUGUUCUUAGUGUUCAUUUUCUUCUUCUUAUUUUGAUUUAAGGGAACUUCAGUAAUCAUGAGGAAG